rnacentral:rRNA from 1 species
CUACGGGACGCUGCAGUGAGGAAUAUUGGUCAAUGGGCGAAAGCCUGAACCAGCCAAUCCGCGUGCAGGAUGACGGCCCUAUGGGUUGUAAACUGCUUUUAUACGGGAAGAACUCCCUGACGUGUCAGGGGCUGACGGUACCGUAUGAAUAAGCAUCGGCUAACUCCGUGCCAGCAGCCGCGGUAAUACGGAGGAUGCAAGCGUUAUCCGGAUUUAUUAGGUUUAAAGGGUGCGUAGGCGGAAUGGUCAGUCAGUGGUGAAAUCCUACAGCUUAACUGUAGAACUGCCAUUGAUACUGCUAUUCUAGAGUUCAGUUGAGGUAGGCGGAAUGUGUAGUGUAGCGGUGAAAUGCUUAGAUAUUACACAGAACACCGAUUGCGAAGGCAGCUUACUAAACUGACACUGACGCUGAGGCACGAAAGCGUGGGGAGCGAACAGGAUUAGAUACCCCAGUAGUC